UUGUUUUCUUAUAUUGACGUAAACGAAUUGUAUCAGAUCUAAACCUAAAACUACUCCGCUACCACCUACUCCGCCGAUCUAAACCUAAAACAACUUCAGGUGCCAAAACCCUACUCCGCUACCACCUACUCCGAUCGCACCGCCACCAUACACCGUUCAACACAUCACCAAAGCCUCCUCCGACCAACUCCUCAGCAAAUUCGCCGAACGAAAGUCACGGUUGACUCACCGGCAAAAGAGAUCUGCUCAAUCCACAGCGCCGGUGACUCGCCGUGAAAUCUCUGAAGGUAUAUUAGCUGAACGGAAGUCGUUGCUGGUUCCUGUAGCGUCUGCUCCCAAAUCUUCAGGCGCGGCUGCGUUUGUUAGGCAGUUGAAGGUCGGGAGAGUGAAUUUUAGGGCUAGGAAUUUCAGGAAGAGAUCGUUUUUUGGAACAAUCGAGAAGGUGUCAGUCAUCGUAGCUCUGAUCAUGGCCUGUGCUAUCGGCGUAUCUGCUAGUGGGAUCGGAUCCAUCUUUGCCGAUUGAAAUCCGAUCAGACAAGUGUUGUCUAAUGGUCUAUGGGAACUUGAGACCGCUGUUCUUCAAUUUAUUAGUCAAACUCCUCAUGCUCUCACCUUUGCUCGAUUCGCUCACAGGUACGGGAGGAAGUACCAAAGUAGUAGGAAAUGAAGCACAGGUACUCGAUCUUCGCUGAAAGUUUGGAGACGAUUAGAUCGCAUAACAAGAAGGGGCUAUCCUAUACUCUUGGAGUCGACGAAUAUGCUGAUAUGACAUGGGAAGAAUUCAGCAAGAACAAACUGGGAGCUGCUCAACACUGCUCUGCUACUAAAAAGGGCAAUCACAAACUCAAACUCACUGAUGAUGUCGUCCCACUCACGAUUGGAGGAAAACAGGAAUUGUGAGCCCAGUCAAGAAUCAAGGAUCUUGUAGAUCCUGCUGGACAUUCAGAGGAUGAAUUAAAGCAUGCAGUAGCAAGGUUUUGACCGGUUCCCAAACGCAGACCCCUCGAAGUGAAGGUGAAAUUCUACAGUCAUCCAACUUAAAAAGCUUCACUUUUGCCGAGCUUAAAAGCGCUACAAGAAACUUUCGUCCCGACAUUGUUCUCGGUGAAGGCGGGUUUAGCUUGAUUGUGGGAGACAAACUAAUAUGGAAUGAACAACAUAUUUCCGUUUAACAGGUCAUUUGUAGCGAAAUAGUCUCAACGUGUGUAUCAAACAUGGUAAACAAAGCGACCGAAAACCUGAAAUUGAGUCGUCUUCUAGGACGCGUUAGAUAACGGGUCGAACCAAAGGCCGAUGUAUCAUUUGUUUAUCAGUAUUUUUUUUUCUGAUUUUCCUGCAAAUUUUAGCAAAAAAGUGGGAUUUUUCCAGUUU